ACGCCACUGCACUCCAGCCUGGGCGACAGAGCAAGACUCCAUCUCAAAAAACAAACAAACAAAAACCAAACAAACAAACAAACAAAAUAUGUCGUUCUUUAGCUAGUUAGGUGAUUUCUAUCUACUAUAAAUGAUUCAUAAUGAAGCAAAACAGCAAUAUUCAUUUAAGCAUGGUCAAGAAAAAUAAUUAUUUAUGAAUAAUCAUCUCAUGUCAUUUUUCCCAUACUUAAGAUACAUGAUUUCAAAUUUUCCUUCACACAGGCAAACAAAAUCAAAUAGUUACAGUGACUUUUUCAGGAGAUAUUUGGUUUUUAUGUCUUAUAUAAAUUCUCACUACCCUAGUAAACCUUUUAAGAGUUAUUAACUAGGCCAGCACUCCCCUGGUCAAUAGCAUAGGCCUAGGUUUAAAUCCUGAAGCUGCCACUUGCAAUGUGACUUUGGGCAAAUUACUUAAUCUGGCACCUCACUUUUCUCAGCUUUAAGGUGAAGACAGUAACAGUAUCUACCUCAUAAGUGACAGGAUGAAAUGAGAUAAUGAAUAAAUGAGUAAAGCACUUAAAACACUGCCUGACACACAAUACAUACUAGUAAAUGUUAACUUCUGUAUUUAUUUAUUUAUUUAUUUAUUUAAUUUAUUUUUGAGACGGAGUCUCGCUCUGUUGCCAGGCUGGAGUGCAAUAGUGCGAUCUUGGCUCACUGCAACCUCCGCCUCCCGGGUUCAAGUGAUUCUCCUGCUUCAGCCUCCUGAGUAGCUGGGAUUACAGGCACACACCACCACACCCAUCUAAUUUUUGUAUUUUUAGUAGAGAUGGGGGUUUCACUGUGUUGGUCAGGUUGGUCUCGAACUCCUGACCUUGUGAUCAGCCCACCUUGGCCUCCCAAAGUGCUGGGAGUACAGGCGUGAGCCACUGCGCCCAGCCAACUUCUGUUUUUUAUAUUUUAGCCUUCUAAAAUAGCCUCACUAUCUAUGGUCACAGCAGAUAGAAUAGUCCAUAAUAAUCUAAUCUACUCCAGAGCAAUUCAAGAGGGAAAUACUAAAAAGAGAUUACUGUUUCUGUUUUGUUGUUGUUGUUUUCAGACAGACUCUUGCUCUGUCGCCCAGGCUGGAGUACAGUGGCGUGAUCUCAGCUCACUGCAACCUCUGCCUCCCGGUUUCAAGCAAUUCUCCUGUUUCAGCCUCCCGAGUAGCUGGGAUUACAGGCAUGAGAAUUGCUUAAACCUGGGAGGUGGAAGUUGCAGUGAACCAAGACUGCACCACUGCACACCAAUCUGGGCAACAGAGGAAGAUUAUCUCAAAAAAAAAAAAAAUAGAAAAGAAAAAAAACUCAAGAAGGCAUGUCCUUCAAAAUAGAUUGACAGAAACACAACACAGCAUUUGACAUAGCUAUCUAGAAACAAAAGAAUUGUGUAGCCUGCUUUACAAGAUACUUUUACAGGCAAGAUGAACCUAUGUUAGGCUGAAGAUAGUUGUUUAUUCAUAUAUAACUAUAAACAUCAUAUACACCCUAAGAUAUACAGUAAAAGGUAAAGAUAUAGAACUUUAUCCUCACACAUAGUCUAGCAGCAUACUCAGAGAUGAAGUCAAAAGAAAACUUCUCAUGAAAAAAACUAAAAAGCUUUUGCCACCAUGGUUAACCGUAUCUGAGAUGGUUUAACUCUUGGAAUGUAUCAGAGAAAAAUUUAUGUGUGGAUGGCUGGCACAUAAAAAGGCUAACUGGGAUACAUAUGAGAAUUAUAGUUAACAUUUACUAAACACUUACUUCAUUCCAGACAUUAUUUCAAGUUUUUUAUAUGGAUUAACUAAUCAAUUGCUAAGAGAUAGCAUUUUAUUGUCCUCACCUUAUAUCCAAGGAAUUGAGGCACAGAGAUAACAUGUCCAAAUGUCAAGUUAAUAGUGACUGGUUAAAAACGGUCUGGCUCCAAAUCCAUGUUUUUAACCACUAGGCAAAGAAGGUUGCACAAAUACAUGCCAUAUACUUAUAGACUCUGGGAGGAGGGUAAGAUUCAGGUAGAGGAUUGUAGUUAUCUGUUAUUUUUAAAUUAUUGACAUGAAUGUAUAAACUUGCAUAAUUAAAAAAACUUUUAUAUCUCAUAAACUUAAAGUCAAACCUUUUACUGAGCUUUCUGUAGAAUUCUAUUUUUUAAGAAGGUCUUGCUCUGUUGCCCAGGCUGGAGUGCAGUGGAAUGAUUAUAGCUCACUACAGCCUCAAUCUCCUGGGCUCAAGCAAUCCUGUCACCUUAGCCUCCCGAGUAGCUAGCCACCACACCUGGCUAAUUUUUUUUUUUUUUUUUGGUAGAGAUGAGGUCUUGCUAUAUUGCCCAGGCUGGCUAGAAUUCCUGGUCUCAGCCAGGCACAGUGGCUCACGCCUGUAAU
rnacentral:lncRNA from 1 species